GAUGAACGCUGGCGGCGUGCCUAAUACAUGCAAGUCGAGCGAACAGACGAGGAGCUUGCUCCUCUGACGUUAGCGGCGGACGGGUGAGUAACACGUGGAUAACCUCCCUAUAAGACUGGGAUCACUUCGGGAAACCGGAGCUAAUACCGGAUAAUAUAUUGAACCGCAUGGUUCAAUAGUGAAAGACGGUUUUGCUGUCACUUAUCGAUGGAUCCGCGCCUCAUUAGCUAGUUGGUAAGGUAACGGCUUACCAAGGCAACGAUGCGUAGCCGACCUGAGAGGGUGAUAGGCCACACUGGAACUGAGACACGGUCCAGACUCCUACGGGAGGCAGCAGUAGGGAAUCUGACGCAAUGGGCGAAAGCCUGACGGAGCAACGCCGCGUGAGUGAUGAAAGUCUUCGGAUCGUAAAACUCUGUUAUUAGGGAAGAACAAAUGUGUAAGUAACUAUGCACGUAUUGACGGUAACUAAUCAGAAAGCCACGGCUAACUACGUG
rnacentral:rRNA from 1 species